rnacentral:rRNA from 1 species
GACGAACGCUGGUGGCGUGCUUAACACAUGCAAGUCGAACGGGAUUUAGUAAACAGAAGCCUCGGUGGAAGAUUACUAAUGAGAGUGGCGAACGGGUGAGUAACGCGUGAGCAACCUGCCUAUGACAGUGGGAUAGCCUCGGGAAACCGGGAUUAAUACCGCAUAAAGUCGUAGAAACACAUGUUUUAACGGUCAAAGAUUUAUCGGUCAUAGAUGGGCUCGCGUCUGAUUAGCUAGUUGGUGAGAUAACAGCCCACCAAGGCGACGAUCAGUAGCCGGUCUGAGAGGAUGAACGGCCACAUUGGAACUGAGACACGGUCCAAACUCCUACGGGAGGCAGCAGUGGGGAAUAUUGCACAAUGGGGGAAACCCUGAUGCAGCGACGCCGCGUGAACGAAGAAGGUAUUCGUAUCGUAAAGUUCUGUCCUAUGGGAAGAUAAUGACAGUACCAUAGAAGAAAGCUCCGGCUAAAUACGUG